rnacentral:lncRNA from 1 species
GUGUCGAGUUGCAGGCGGCUUUUCGAGAGCAGCGGCCCGGAGCGGUCGCGGUGGAGAUGGCGGCGACUCUGGGAUUCCGACCCUCCGGUCUCUGUCGAUUCUGUCCGCCUCAGGUUACUUGUGAAAGCCCGAAAAAGGGCUCUUUAUGUAAAAUCUUGUGAAUGCGAAAGUUUUGGUUACUCAAGCAGAAGAGCAUUUGGAGAGAAAGUAAGGAAAAGAACUCAGAACUCGGAUUGAGGAGAAAUCGUUUAGGGUCUUGCUUCGUUCCUCGAGAAAUGAGCUAGAGUUCGUACAUGCCAGUGCCUUGCUCCUACGUUGUGCUGCUUAAAGUAAGGACUGUACUGGCCCAGCAGUUGAGCGACGUAUUUACCAUCUUAUUUAGGAUAAAAUUCAAGUGCCUGCCACUGACUACGAGGCCCUAUGUGAGGCAGUUGUUGAGUCUUUUCCUAUCACCUUCCUCCUUACUACGUGAGCCACCCUGGCCUUCUUGUGGUUCUUCCUCAGGUAUAGAGAAGAAAGCAUUUGCCAGAUCAAUAGCUGCAUACCAGGUAAUAUGUUAAUUUGAUCAAGCAAUGAAACCACAUCUGGUAUAGCAACUGCAAUUGGAGGCUCCACCUGUUUAAGCUUGUGAUAAUCCACUGUCGUCCUCCAAGAUCCAGCUGUCUUCUGCAAAGGUUAAAUAG